rnacentral:rRNA from 1 species
GAUGAACGCUGGCGGCGUGCUUAACACAUGCAAGUCGAACGGAAAGGCACCUGCUUGCUGGGGUACUCGAGUGGCGAACGGGUGAGUAACACGUGGGUGAUCUGCCCUGCACUUCGGGAUAAGCCUGGGAAACUGGGUCUAAUACCGGAUAGGACGAUGGUUUGGAUGCCAUUGUGGAAAGUUUUUCGGUGUGGGAUGGGGUCGGGGCCUAUUGGCUAGUUGGUGGGGUAAUGGCCUACCACGGCGCCGAGGGGUCGCCGGCAUGGGAGGUGGGACGGGCACAUUGGGACUGCGAGACGGCGCAGACUCGUACGGGGGGCAGCAGUGGGGAAUAUUGCACAAUGGGCGCAAGCCUGAUGCAGCGACGCCGCGUGGGGGAUGACGGCCUGCGGGUUGUAAACUGCUUUCGCUAGGGACGAAGCGCAAGUGACGGUACCUGGAGAAGAAGCACCGGCUAACUACGUG